UGGGGAAUUUUGGACAAUGGGGGAAACCCUGAUCCAGCCAUCCCGCGUGUGCGAUGAAGGCCUUCGGGUUGUAAAGCACUUUUGGCAGGAAAGAAACGUCAUGGGUUAAUACCCCGUGAAACUGACGGUACCUGCAGAAUAAGCACCGGCUAACUACGUGCCAGCAGCCGCGGUAAUACGUAGGGUGCAAGCGUUAAUCCGAAUUACUGGGCGUAAAGCGUGCGCAGGCGGUUCGGAAAGAAAGAUGUGAAAUCCCAGAGCUCAACUUUGGAACUGCAUUUUUAACUACCGGGCUAGAGUGUGUCAGAGGGAGGUGGAAUUCCGCGUGUAGCAGUGAAAUGCGUAGAUAUGCGGAGGAACACCGAUGGCGAAGGCAGCCUCCUGGGAUAACACUGACGCUCAUGCACGAAAGCGUGGGGAGCAAACAGG
rnacentral:rRNA from 1 species